CUGAACAAAACCCCUAGCCGGAGCCGCCGGAGGAGAUGAGAUCUAUGCGGAACUGAAUCAUCUCCUCCUAAUGUGCAUCUAUAUAUUCCAAACCCCCAUACCUCUCCUCUCAUCCCCAUCUUUCCUUCUCUUCUUUUUAUGGGGUGCGGUGAGGAUGCAAUUUAUGUGGACUAGAGUUUCUGAUCUUCCGGUUGAAGACAAACCCUUGGCUGUCUGAGCACA